rnacentral:siRNA from 1 species
UUCAAAUGAGAUGCCGUUGGAA